GCGGAUGUGGCGGAAUUGGCAGACGCGCCAGAUUUAGGUUCUGGUGGGAGACCGUGGGGGUUCAAGUCCCUUCAUCCGCA
rnacentral:tRNA from 1 species